AACGAACGCUGGCGGCAUGCCUAACACAUGCAAGUCGAACGAAGUCUUCGGACUUAGUGGCGCACGGGUGCGUAACGCGUGGGAAUCUGCCCUUGGGUGCGGAAUAACUUCUCGAAAGGGAUGCUAAUACCGCAUAAUGUCGUAAGACCAAAGAUUUAUCGCCCAAGGAUGAGCCCGCGUAAGAUUAGCUAGUUGGUGGGGUAAAAGCCUACCAAGGCGACGAUCUUUAGCUGGUCUGAGAGGAUGAUCAGCCACACUGGGACUGAGACACGGCCCAGACUCCUACGGGAGGCAGCAGUGGGGAAUAUUGGACAAUGGGCGAAGCCUGAUCCAGCAAUGCCGCGUGAGUGAUGAAGGCCCUAGGGUUGUAAAGCUCUUUUACCAGGGAUGAUAAUGACAGUACCCGCAGAAUAAGCUCCGGCUAACUUCGUGCCAGCAGCCGCGGUAAU
rnacentral:rRNA from 1 species